UACGAAGGGGGCUAGCGUUGUUCGGAUUUACUGGGCGUAAAGGGCGCGUAGGCGGUCAGCACAAGUCAGUUGUGAAAUCUCCGAGCUUAACUCGGAAAGGUCAACUGAUACUGUGCGACUAGAGUGCAGAAGGGGCAACUGGAAUUCUCGGUGUAGCGGUGAAAUGCGUAGAUAUCAGGAGGAACACCGGUGGUGUAGACGGCUCACUGGACCGUAACUGACGCUGAGACACGAAAGCGUGGGUAGCAAACAGG
rnacentral:rRNA from 1 species